rnacentral:rRNA from 1 species
CCCUUAGAUGUCCGGGGCUGCACGCGCGCUACACUGAAGGAAUCAGCGUGCUAAAACCAUUGUCGAAAGGCAUUGGUAAACCCAUUAAAAUCCUACGUGAUUGGGAUCGGGAAUUGCAAUUAUUUCCCUUGAACGAGGAAUUCCCAGUAAGUGUGGGUCAUAAGCUCGCGUUGAUUACGUCCCUGCCCUUUGUACACACCGCCCGUCGCUGCCCGGGACUGAGCCGUUUCGAGAAAAGCGGGGACUGCUGCUGUCGGGGCUUUCGGGCCUUGGCUUCGGUGGAAACCGCUUUAAUCGCAGUGGCUUGAACCGAGCAAAAGUCGUANCA